GACGAACGCUGGCGGCGUGCUUAACACAUGCAAGUCGAGCGGUAAGGCCCUUUCGGGGGUACACGAGCGGCGAACGGGUGAGUAACACGUGGGUGACCUGCCCUCAGCUCUGGGAUAAGCCUGGGAAACUGGGUCUAAUACUGGAUAUGACUCCACGGUGCAUGUCGUGGGGUGGAAAGCCUUGUGCGGCUGAGGAUGGGCCCGCGGCCUAUCAGCUUGUUGGUGGGGGAUGGCCUACCAAGGCGACGACGGGUAGCCGGCCUGAGAGGGCGACCGGCCACACUGGGACUGAGACACGGCCCAGACUCCUACGGGAGGCAGCAGUGGGGAAUCUUGCGCAAUGGGCGAAAGCCUGACGCAGCGACGCCGCGUGAGGGAUGACGGCC
rnacentral:rRNA from 1 species